UACGUAGGGCGCAAGCGUUGUCCGGAAUUAUUGGGCGUAAAGAGCUCGUAGGCGGUCUGUUACGUCCGCUGUGAAAACCCAGGGCUUAACCCUGGGCUUGCAGUGGAUACGGGUAGACUAGAGGCAGGUAGGGGAGAAUGGAAUUCCCGGUGUAGAGGUGAAAUUCGUAGAUAUCGGGAGGAACACCGGUGGCGAAGGCGGCGACCUGGGUAGAUACUGACGCUGAGGCGCGAAAGCGUGGGGAGCAAACAGG
rnacentral:rRNA from 1 species